rnacentral:lncRNA from 1 species
GGAACCUAAUGGAUCGCACACCGUGUAAGGAGGAGAUUGAAGAAACAAUGGAAAUGAGUAAGAAUGAUUAAAUGGUUUAAUCAUUUAUUUAUGGCAAGGAUUAAUUAAUAUGUUAAUUAAUCAAACGAAUAAGUUCGUUAAAGAUCUCGGGAUAGUUUUGGACCUUAAGGCCCAAUGGGUUUCGAACGUCAAGCCCAUUAACAUAAGUUGUAUGACAACUUAAUGAAUAAUGAUUCACAAAGGCCCAAUUAGUCCAAAAUAUCCUAAUGGCCGGCCAUAUUGGUUAGGGUAGUGAACUUGGACUUAUUUACAAGUUUGCCACUCAAAUGAAUAAAGGUAUAAAUAUGACUUUAUAGCCAAAAUUCAUUAAGGGUUUGUUUUGGAGAAAAUUGGAGAGAACAUGUCUCUCCAUUUCUCUCUAAAGAGGCCGGCCACCUUGGGGGGUGCAUCUUGCAAUCCCACUACUCCAAGGUCACUCAUUUCUUCUCC